CCAAUUGAAGCAUAGCAUAGCAUAGGUGUCAGUCGCAUAGCAAAGUUUUUAUGUUUUACGUCAUAAUGGAGGAGACGGUGAUGUACCUCAGGCUUAGCCAAGACAGAGGCCAGGUAUGUUAUGCUUGCCAAGCCAGCACCUAUUCACGUCAUGCCUGCUACGCCAGAGCCUACUCACAUCAUGCCAGUCUCUCAAGAGAUUCUCCACAACAUGGCCGCCAUUGAAGAGCUUUGUUGCAAGAGGCCCGCCACACAAAAGUCUCUUCACAAAAUGGCCGCCCUUCUAGAGUCUCGACAUGUCGCAGCUGAUCCUCCAGAGUCUCGUCAUGACAUGGCCGCCAUUCCAGAGUCUCGUCACGACAUGGCCGCCAUUCCAGAGUCUCGUCAUGACAUGGCCACCAUUUCUGAGUCUGCUUACGUCAUGCCUGUCAAGCCAGAGCAUUCACACAAGAUGGCCACCACGCCUGAGUCCCCGGCCAAGAUGGCCACCACACCUGAGUCCCCGGCCAAGCCUGAAUCUCGCCAUGUCAUGGCAGUCACAGAGACUGUUCCCUUGACCUCAGUACUUCCAGUAAUGGCAGUCACUAUUUUGAGCAUGUGGACUGCACACUGCACUCCAGAGAUCUCUUCUGUCCAUGGGUCUGCUCCUGAGGCCAGUCCUGACCGUGAAUUCACUCCAGUGCCCCCAGAGGAGGCCGUCCACGAACUCACUGCCUGUCCUGUCACGGCCACAGAGGCUGUUCACGAACUCACUGUCUGUCCUGACACAGCCACGGAGGCAGUUCACGAACUCACUGUCUGUCCUGUCACAGCCACGGAGGCCAUUCAAAAACUCUCUGCCUGUUCUGCCACAGACAAGUGGUCUGUCCAUGUUUCUGCUCCACCCUGGCUUCCUGCUCUGCCAGUGCCACUCCGCCGUCCUGCUCUGCCUGCAUCGCCAUGGCUCCCUGCUCUGCCUGGACCGCCAUGGCUUCCCACCCUGCCUGCUCCACCAUGGCUCCCUGCCAUACCUGCUCCACCAUGGCUCCCUGCUCUGCCUGAACUGCCAUGGCUCCACGGCCCAGGUCCCCCUCUACUCCACUGUCUGUCACUGCUCCAUGGCCCAGGUCCCCCUUUGCUCCAUUGUCUGUCAUUGCCUCAUGAUCCAGAUCCACCACUGCUCCUAGCUCCAGGCCCGCCAUUGCUCCACACUCCAGGUUCUGUUCCUUUUC
ensembl:lncRNA